UUAGCUAGUUGGUGGGGUAACGGUUCACCAAGGCGAUGAUCGGUAGCUGGUCUGAGAGGACGGACAGCCACACUGGGACUGAGACACGGCCCAGACUCCUACGGGAGGCAGCAGCGAGGAAUUUUAGACAAUGGGCGAAAGCCUGAUCUAGCGACGCCGCGUGGAGGAUGAAGGUUUUCGGAUCGUAAACUCCUUUUAUCAGGGAUGAAUAAUGACAGUACCUGAUGAAUAAGCCACGGCUAACUACGUGCCAGCAGCCGCGGUGAUACGUAGGUGGCAAGCGUUAUCCGGAUUUACUGGGCGUAAAGCGAGUGCAGACGGUUUUUCAAGUCGGAUGUAAAAUCUCCCAGCUUAACUGGGAGAGCCCGUUCGAUACUGGGAGACUUGAGGACAACAGGGGGAGGUAGAAUUCCCGGUGUAGUGGUGGAAUGCGUAGAUAUCGGGAGGAAUACCAGUGGCGAAGGCGGCCUCCUAGGUUGUUCCUGACGUUCAGACUCGAAGGUGUGGGGAGCAAACAGGAUUAGAUACCCUGGUAGUCCACACUGUAAACGAUGGAUACUAGGUAUAGGGAGUAUCGACCCUCUCUGUGCCAAAGCUAACGCGUUA
rnacentral:rRNA from 1 species